CCUUUAACCCAGGAGGCUCCACUCCUUCUCUGCUCUCCUUAGAGAUUCACCCGGCUGUCAGUAAUUCAGCCCUCGGGUUUAUUCAGCUGAGAUCUUCAGAUUUCAAAAGAUAAUCUGGGAAUAAUUGGGACUUAAGGAACUGGUGGGAAUCUCGGUUCUCUUUGCUGCUCUGCCAUUCACCACUCAGAUGGACAUCUUAUUCCAUCCUCAAUGGGAUGGGUGGAUGGAAUCCAAAUGGCUGAGAUGGUGUUAUGGUGCCCUCAUAACCUUGCCAGUCAGAGAGAACGGGAUCAAGAGUUCAGAAACUAGUUUUGUGAACUAACUGCAGGGUAGACCAAUACAGGCCUACCCUGCCUGUAUUCUCUCCUCACCCCUUUCUCUCUUUUUUGCAGCAUGCCCUCCCUUCUCAAGCUUCACUGAUGAAAAACUGAUGAAAAAGGGGGUGAGGGGCCAUCAAAAUAUAUCUUGGGGCCAGAGUCCUACCUUCAAUCCUCAGCUGGUGGAGGAGAUGGGAAACCCAGAAUCAACUGCUGACCACUAAAAAGAGAGAGUGAAAAGGAUGAUGUCUUGGCAAUGUGAAAGAAA